rnacentral:lncRNA from 1 species
UGGGGAGGGAUUCGUAUGCUGAUGCUCUCUGGAAAGCUGUAACCUUGACAUAAUUCGCAAUACAAUCUGGAAAUGAAAUGGGAUAGGAUUAUGGAGUUGGUGGAAUGAGACCGGAAAGGGAUGGAUGGAAGAUGGGAUGCAAAUGAGUCGCAAUGAGUUGUAUGGGACGUAGUGUGGGAUGAGGUGAGAUGAAUGGGGAGGGAGGAGAUGGAAUAGGAUGGGGUGGAAUAGAGGAUAGGAUAGCAUGUGAUGAGAUGAGACAGGAGAAAAUAGAUGGAGGAGUAUGAUGGGAUACACUGGGAUGCAGGUCGACAUUUGUGUAUUUGUUAGAAUGAGAUGAGGGAUGGGAUGAGAUUAAAAGGAUGGGUCAGAUCGGAAGAAGUGGAUUACAUGGGAUAGGAUGAAAGUGAUGAAAUGGGUUGGUAUGGGAUGAGGGAUGGAAUGGGGAAUGGGAUGAGGGAUGGGAUGAGGUGUGGGAUGAGGGAUGGGAUAGGAUGAGGUAUAGGAUUGGAUGUGGGGUGGGAUGAAGGAUGAGAUGAGGGAUAGGGUGAGGGAAGGGAUGAGGUGAGGGAUAGGAUAGGAUGGGAUGGGAUGAGGGAUGGGAUGAGCGGCACCUCAGAGAAUUGUGAAAUCUGCUCUUUCCCUAUAUGAGAAGGCACAGGAGGCUGCACUCAAUAAUUCAUCAACUGCUUCCAUGGGUGUCCAGGAUCUGUGUAAAUCCAUACUCAAAAACAGUAGGUAUAUGUCACUAACAGCUCACUGAGUGACUAAACAGGAAGAAAGCCAUAGGCAAUGCUCUCUCGCGUAGGCCCCCACCAAACUGGACUGGCUUGGUAAUUUCAACAGAAACCCCAUUUGCAA